rnacentral:misc_RNA from 1 species
UCUCCGUAGGUGAACCUGCGGAGGGAUCAUUACCGAGUGAGGGCCUUCGGCCCGACCUCCAACCCUCUGUUCAACCGUCUUUGUUGCCUCGGGGGCGACCCGGCCUUCGGGCGUCGGGGCCCCCGGUGGACCACUCAAUCAAAACUCUGCGUCCCUGCGUCUGAGUCACGAAGUAAAUCAAUCAAAACUUUCAACAACGGAUCUCUUGGUUCUGGCAUCGAUGAAGAACGCAGC